rnacentral:rRNA from 1 species
AUACGGAGGGUGCGAACGUUAAUCGGAAUUACUGGGCGUAAAGCGCGCGUAGGCGGUUCGACAAGUGGGAUGUGAAAGCCCAGGGCUCAACCUUGGAACUGCAUUCCAAACUGUCGGACUAGAGUAUGGUAGAGGGAGGUAGAAUUUCCUGUGUAGCGGUGAAAUGCGUAGAUAUAGGAAGGAAUACCAGUGGCGAAGGCGGCCUCCUGGACCAAUACUGACGCUGAGGUGCGAAAGCGUGGGGAGCAAACAGGAUUAGAAACCCCGGUAGUCC